rnacentral:rRNA from 1 species
AUCACGUGGGGGCUCUAUAAUGCAGUCGUACGCUUCUUUUUCCACCGGAGCUUGCUCCACCGGAAAAAGAAGAGUGGCGAACGGGUGAGUAACACGUGGGUAACCUGCCCAUCAGAAGGGGAUAACACUUGGAAACAGGUGCUAAUACCGUAUAACAAUCGAAACCGCAUGGUUUUGAUUUGAAAGGCGCUUUCGGGUGUCGCUGAUGGAUGGACCCGCGGUGCAUUAGCUAGUUGGUGAGGUAACGGCUCACCAAGGCCACGAUGCAUAGCCGACCUGAGAGGGUGAUCGGCCACAUUGGGACUGAGACACGGCCCAAACUCCUACGGGAGGCAGCAGUAGGGAAUCUUCGGCAAUGGACGAAAGUCUGACCGAGCAACGCCGCGUGAGUGAAGAAGGUUUUCGGAUCGUAAAACUCUGUUGUUAGAGAAGAACAAGGAUGAGAGUAACUGUUCAUCCCUUGACGGUAUCUAACCAGAAAGCCACGGCUAACUACGUGCCAGCAGCCGCGGUAAUACGUAU